rnacentral:rRNA from 1 species
AACGAACGCUGGCGGCAUGCCUAACACAUGCAAGUCGAACGAGACCUUCGGGUCUAGUGGCGCACGGGUGCGUAACGCGUGGGAACCUGCCCUUAGGCUCGGAAUAACUCCCCGAAAGGGGUGCUAAUACCGGAUAAUGUCUUCGGACCAAAGAUUUAUCGCCUUUGGAUGGGCCCGCGUUGGAUUAGCUAGUUGGUAGGGUAAAAGCCUACCAAGGCGAAGAUCCAUAGCUGGUCUGAGAGGAUGAGCGGCCACACUGGGACUGGGACACGGCCCAGACUCCUACGGGAGGGAGCAGUGGGGAAUAUAGGACAAUCGGCUAAAGCCUGAUCCAGCAAUGCCGCGUGAGUGAUGAAGGCCGGAGGGUUGUAAAGCUCUUUUACCCGGGAUGAUAAUGACGGUACCGGGAGAAUAAGCACCGGCUAACUCCGUG